CGCUGGCGGCGUGCUUAACACAUGCAAGUCACGGGGGCCCGCAAGGGUAACCGGCGAACGGGUGCGUAACACGUGAACAAUCUGCCUAGAUGUGGGGGGAUAGCCGGCCCAACGGCCGGGUAAUACCGCAUACGCUCUUCGGGUGGCAUCACUUGAAGAGGAAACCUCCGGGGCAUCUAGAGGAGUUCGCGGCCUAUCAGCUAGUUGGUGGGGUAACGGCCUACCAAGGCAAUGACGGGUAGCUGGUCUGAGAGGAUGGCCAGCCACAUUGGGACUGAGAUACGGCCCAGACUCCUACGGGAGGCAGCAGUGGGGAAUAUUGCGCAAUGGCCGAAAGGCUGACGCAGCGACGCCGCGUGGGGGAUGAAGCAUUUCGGUGUGUAAACCCCUGUUGCUCGGGACGAACAACUGGAUUUGUCCAGUCUGACGGUACCGGGUGAGGAAGCACCGGCUAACUCCGUG
rnacentral:rRNA from 1 species